rnacentral:rRNA from 1 species
ACUAGGCGGAGGAAAAGAAACUAACAAGGAUUCCCCCAGUAGCGGCGAGCGAACAGGGAGGAGCCCAGCACGGAAUCCCGCGCGGAGACGCGCAGGGAGAUGUCGUGUGUGGGAGGCCCCACUCUCCCGGGGCGCGGUGCGGCGAGUCCAAGUCUCCCUUGAACGGGGCCAUCGCCCGCAGAGGGUGCCAGGCCCGUAGGACCGCGACCGCUCCCGGGUGGGGGCUCUCCUCAGAGUCGUGUUCCUUGAGAGUGGAGCACUAAGAGGGUGGUAAACUCCAUCUAAGGCUAAAUAUGACCACGAGACCGAUAGCGAACAAGUACCGUGAGGGAAAGUUGAAAAGAACUUUGAAGAGAGAGUUCAAUAGUACGUGAAACCGUUCAGGGGUAAACGGGAGAGACCCGGAACACCGUAAGGGGAGAUUCAGCCCCGUCCGCGUGUGUCGGACCACGGGCGGUUGCUCCCGGAUGCUCCCGGCCGCCGGUCGCGCCGCAAGGCACGCGCCGGUGCGAGUCGGGGGCACCGGCCGCCCGUGGUUUUAGGCCGUGGCGGGGUGCACUUCUGGCCCCAAGUUGGACGUCGCGACCCGUUGGAGGAGUCUACGGACGAAGCGGUCUAAGGCCCGGGAACGAGACCGGGGGUACUUCCGCUGAGGCGCGGGUCAAAGGUGCCCUCGGACCCCGGUAAGCCUGGCCGCCCUCCGACGGUCUUUGUUAGGGAGGAUAAAGGCCGGCUACCUCAACGCCUGGCGCGAGGAGAGAGCGUCCGACCCGGUGGGCAAGAACUCCGGGGAGAAAUGCCGGGUGCGCGUGGCUCUCGUCACGCCCCCGGACCCCGGUUAGACUGAUAGCCCCCGUGGACUCUCGGACAAUCCACCCACGGCCACUCCAGUCUGCGGCGCUUCAGCUUCGGGUGCUCUCCCGACCCGUCUUGAAACACGGACCAAGGAGUCUAACAUGUGCGCGAGUCACUGGGAUCAAGUCUAAACCCAGAGGCGCAGUGAAAGCGUGGGGCCCGCACGGCUUAAUGCCGCCGCGGGCCGCUAAGGGAGGACGGCCGUUCGUUCCCGACCGGUGCGGGCGGCCAGCACUCCCGGGGCGCCUCGGCUCCGGCCGCAGGCGCACCCGGAGCGCACACGUUGGGACCCGAAAGAUGGUGAACUAUGCCCGGCCAGGACGAAGUCAGGGGAAACCCUGAUGGAGGUCCGCAGCGAUUCUGACGUGCAAAUCGAUCGUCAGAGCUAGGUAUAGGGGCGAAAGACUAAUCGAACCAUCUAGUAGCUGGUUCCCUCCGAAGUUUCCCUCAGGAUAGCUGGCGCCGAGUUGGACUGGGACAGUCUCAUCCGGUAAAGCGAAUGAUUAGAGGCCUUGGGGCCGAAACGACCUCAACCUAUUCUCAAACUUUAAAUGGGUGAGAUCUCCGGCUUGCUUGAGCGAAGCCGCGAGAAGACGGAUGAUGGUGCCAAGUGGGCCAAUUUUGGUAAGCAGAACUGGCGCUGUGGGAUGAACCAAACGCCGGGUUAAGGCGCCUAAACCGGAGCUCAUGGGAGACCAUGAAAGGCGUUGGUUGCUUAAGACAGCAGGACGGUGGCCAUGGAAGUCGGAAUCCGCUAAGGAGUGUGUAACAACUCACCUGCCGAAGCAACUAGCCCUGAAAAUGGAUGGCGCUAAAGCUCCGUGCCUAUACCCGGCCGCCGGAAGGCAGGGCCGUGAUGCUGAAGCCCCGGCGAGUAGGAGGGCGCGGCGGUGAGCGCGGAAGGGUCUGGGCGUGAGCCCGCCUGGAGCCGCCGCCGGUGCAGAUCUUGGUGGUAGUAGCAAAUACUCAAGCGAGGGCCUUGAGGGCUGAUGCGGAGAAGGGUUUCGUGUGAACAGCCGUUGCACACGAGUCAGUCGAUCCUAAGCCCUAGGAGAAAUCCGAUGCCGAUGAGGCGGGGUGGCUACCCGCCCGUCGAGGGCGAAAGGGAAUCCGGUUCCUAUUCCGGAACCCGGCAGCGGAACCGAACCGUCGGGCCCUCGCAAGAGAAGCUCGUCGGGGUAACCCAAAGGGACCCGGAGACGCCGUCGGGAGACCCGGGCAGAGUUUUCUGUUCUGCAUAAGCGUUCGAGUUCCCUGGAAUCCUCUAGCAGGGAGGUAGGGUUUGGAACGCGAAGAGCACCGCAGUUGCGGCGGUGUCCGGGUCGUCCCCUCGGACCUUGAAAAUCCGGGAGAGGGCUACGCGGAGGUGUCGCGCCGGCUCGUACCCAUAUCCGCAGCUGGUCUCCAAGGUGAGGAGCCUCUAGUC